rnacentral:rRNA from 1 species
GUGCCAGCAGCCGCGGUAAUACGGAGGUGGCAAGCGUUGUUCGGAAUUACUGGGCGUAAAGGGCGCGUAGGCGGCUUGGCAAGUCAGAUGUGAAAGCCCCGGGCUUAACUUGGGAAUUGCAUCUGAAACUGCCUUGCUUGAGUCCUGGAGGGGGUAGUGGAAUUCCCAGUGUAGCGGUGAAAUGCGUAGAUAUUGGGAGGAACACCUGCGGCGAAGGCGGCUACCUGGACAGUGACUGACGCUGAGGCGCGAAAGCUAGGGGAGCAAACGGGAUUAGAAACCCCCGUAGUCC